rnacentral:lncRNA from 10 species
GGCAAAGUGUCCAUGUUUGCAUCUGUGACUACUCUGUGUUAGAGCUGGAAAAUGAAAACUUCCAACCAUCAGAGCAGCUCAUCUUUAAAAAGAAAAUAAUCAAACACUCAGACACUCUGGAUUUAUUUGCUGACCUCUGUUUGAAUACAGAAUUCACUACUCUUCAGAAAUACCAUUAUGCAGCAUGUACACUAAGCCCUGAGUAUAUCUGGGGCUUUCUUUACUCUCCAGAUAUGGGAAGUUCACUCAUCCUCCUCCCUUCGUUAAUGCUAAUUAAUGGACAAGAGACCCUUAAGAGAGGGAACAAAAAACAUGCUUAAGUGAAACUCAGUGGAGGACAUGAGUACACUUACAGACCAAAGACGCCUAUCCCUCCUGUGCUUGGGCAUGAAAUUUCCAGAAUCAGAAGAAAAGAAUCUCUUACAGCAUUUAGCAGAGGAGAAUUGGAGAACACAGUUGGAUUUCUAUUCUUGAAAGAGCUUUAUUUUGGAGAGGAGACCUAUUUCUAAAGGAAAAUUGAACAGAAGCUUGAUGACUUCCCAAGAACAAUUUGGUAGAAAAGAGUGCUGAUGAAGAAGAGAGGACAACACAAAAGAAGACACAGAAGCACCAUGGGCAAACCAUGGAACAAGAACUGGAAUGAAUAUCUAUUCCACUACCUGAACUAAAGACUGCAGACGGAGAAAGGGAAGACAGGGGUUUAACUGGCAAUUCAAAGUGAGGUGAUCAGCCUUCUGUUACAGAGUUAACUGUGUGUGAAAGAAUGUAAGAUUCAUGUAUACAUCUGACAGUGACAGCUGUAUGGCCACAGCUUCACAACUGGAGCUGCUGAUAAGACACCUACUCGGAGUAAUGAUGCAUAAUAUGGAAAUGCAAUAACCCAGACCUCGGUCUUGCUCUGUUGCCCAGGCUGUAGUGCAGAUGCAAGAUCAUAGCUCACUGUAGCCUCUAACUCCUGGGCUCAAGUGAUCCUCCCUCUUCGGCCUCCUAAAAUGCUGGGAUUACAGUGAUCAGGUUUUUCAUCUUGCCCAUCAUCUUCUGGACCUCAAAUACCUGCUGAAGAUGAGAUUUUGCCUUAACUUAGUGGGCUUGAACUCUGUACUGAUGAUAUGAAGCAACCCUGCCCUACCUGGUGGAGAAGGAAAAUGUAAGAUCUAUGGACCUUACUUUAGGAUGAACUUUUAAAAACAAAUAUGAAAUAUUCCCAGGCAGUUCCAAAACUUGUGUUUUAUAUGUUAAAAUGUGUUUACACUAAUAUAAAAUUUAACUGUCUUUUUAUUAUUGCGAACAAACCAAGUAAUACCAAUUAAUUGAACUGUGCUUCUUAAACAUUAUUUUAAAAUUAACUGUUAUUAGUUUACUUGGCUCAGGCUUUCACCUGAUCCUUGGCCUUUGUUUAUGUGUCCACAUCUUCAAGGUUAAAUAAUUUAAGUUGUCAUUAUGUUCUAUGGUUAAAAUUUGCAUAUCAUGAGUGCUACUUUUCAUUUCCAGGUCAACUUCUCUCCCAAGUCUGGUGUAGUCCGAGGAAUUACUCCCUAGAGUGAAAAUUUAAAAAGCAAACCUUGUUUCAAGUAUCUAAGCUAUCAUUUUACAUUGGAGUACUUUAUGAAUUUUUUUUUAUUUGGAUCUCCUUCGAGAAGUCCCCCUAUAAUUGCUUAUUGAAUAACUUCAAGAGUGUGUUAUUAUUAUUUUUUCUAAUCGGGUAUCUUUAGAACCAUAACAGGUAUUAUCUUCUAAGAUGUAGUUAUAUAGGGCCCAGAUCACUGCUACCAGAUAAGACACAAAAGGAAAAUCUGAAGAGACCCAUAUAGCUCCACCUACAGAGACAGGAGGAAAGGGAAUUUGAAAUGUGGAAUCAAAAGCUGGAGGCCAUAACAGCAGAAAGCAGCAACAAUUUUGGAUGAUGGAUUCUCAGUAACUUAUAUGUGGAGCACAUCCCCUGAGACUUCAAGGGAAGUAACCAAAUGGGAAAUGGUAAGGUCUUAAGUCUGGAUUGAGAGUCAAAGUUCAGAGGAGGAAUGGCAAGAGUGAAACAUAGUAUCUUUUCUUAGCAGGACUGAGAUCUAAGCAACACACUGGAAUCCUAAACAAAGGGGAAACGUUACAGGAGUGCAGGUGGGGUUGAGCUUCAGGUAUGUAUCUUAGUUCUCAGAACAGGACAUAAGGUUACUUAAGCCCAGCUUCCAUAGGGUCAGGCAAAACAGCUUGAACAUCCCCAAUCUACAAAUCCAAAAUCUGAAAUGCUCCAAAAUCCAAGACUUUUGAGCACCAACAUGAUGCCACAAUUGAAAAAUUCCACACAUAACUACUUAACACAACUUCGUUUCAUGUGCAAAAUUAUUUACAAUAUUGUAUAAAAUUACCUUUAGGCUAUGAAUAUAAGGUGCAUGUGAAACAUAAGUGAAUUUUAUGUUUAGACUAGGGCCCCAAGCCCCAGAUAUCUCAUUAUGUAUGUACAAAUAUUCCAAAAUCCAAAAGCAUUCAAAGUCCAAACACUUCUGUCCCCAAGUAUUUUGAAUGAGGGAGAGACAACCUGUAGUUCCAAAAAUUGCUUCUGCUUGAAGCCCCGUUUGGGUCUGGGGAUAAAUUUUCAUGUACAUGCUAGCCAUGGGGAGUGGAGGCAAAUAGAAUAUUUCCUGUAACAUAGCACCUGUGGUCCUCUGAUUACAUUUGCACUAAUUCCUAAAGUAUCACAGGAACGUGUUCUCUUAACUCGGUGUCCCUAGAAACAGAACAUGAGAGAAGGAUUAAGGAAGUUCCUCCGGGAGCAACAGUGACGGAGUGGAAGAAGACGACAACAAACAAGGGUGUGAUUUCAAAUGAACCUCAUCUAGCCUGAUCAUGCAGAGUACUGGGCCUAAUUGGCAUUUUUAACUUAAACUGUAGUCAACUAUACAGCUAAAUGAGUUCAAGAAUAAUUAUAAGCAAAGAUCUUUCAUUUUUUUUCAACUUUCAUUUUAGAUUCAGGGGGCAAACAGGAAGUUUUUUAGCCCUUGCCCCGCUCUCACCCUUUCCCCUCUAGGAGUCCCCAGUGUCUAUUGUUCCCAUCUUUAUGUCCAUUUGUACUCAAUAUUUAGCUCCCACUUAUAAGUGAGAAUAUGUAGUAUUUAGUUUUCUGUUCCUGAAUUAAUUUGAGAUUUUUAUUUUAUUCUUUUUCUUUAUUUUUUUAAAAAACAGGAUCUUGCUCUGUCACCCAGGCUGGAGUGCAGUGACGCAAUUAUAGCUCACUGCAGCAUUGAACGCCUGGGCUCAAGCAAUCCUCCAGCCUCAGUCUCUCGAGUAGCUGGGACUACAGGUGGAUAUCAACAUGCCCAGGAUGUUGCAGCAAAGAAUCAAGAGGACGCCUUGUUGAAAGCUAAGCCUGUUGCUGGAGCAAACAGAUCUUUUGCCAGAGCAAUGACUCAACACACCACAAGGCAACUGAGUCUUGCUGCUCUCCAGAGACUGUGGUUAGAAAUACGUCACCAGCGGGAGCAUCAUUAAUCACAAAUGUAGGAGUGACAGUCAGUUUCUUGACCUCAUUGAGACAGGCAGGGAGGUCAUAGCUUCAAGCAGUUCAUUCUUCAGGCAAGGAAAACUAUUGGGAAGAUUUCCUUUUUGUUAUCGCUGGCAUUUUUAUUUAAUCCCAUCAUUUUCCCCACAGUCUGGGCAGAAGUACAAAAGCUUCAGACAGGCACAUUCUGCCCCUUUCUCUUUUUCUCGCUGCCAAAAGUAACCUUGGCAAUUGAUGGUUUAGGGAAAAACUACCACGCCCCCUUUCCUCAAUCUUAUUUUCUCUCAUCCAUCCUUUCUUAUUCUCUUUUUUUCUUCGCACUUCUCUUGGGGUCUAAAGAUCAGGAGGGUAGAAAGAGUCAUCUUAAUGGAGCCUGAUGUUAGCAGCCCUGCCUAUUUCUCUGUAUUGAUUGUAGUGGAAGGUUAGGAAGAAAUCUUCCCUGCAUGAGGGCACAUAUGUCCCUCCCGCAGUCGUCAGCCUGGUUGCUGUUGGAAGAGGGCUGGUGUUGUUAUUAGAGCCUGUCACAGCCAAUGAAUUUCAUUCCAGGCCCUACACAGGAAACUUCAUAAAGGAAAAACACCAAGAAUGAAAAGAAUUCAAGAACCUUGGUUUGUAUAUCUGAGUGCACAUUAGGACAUUGAAAGCACAUUUAAUUUCAUGCAGAAAAUCAUCAUGAUAUCAUCACAAAAGACAGUUUUGAAAUCAGAAAGUGAAUACGGUAAAAGGAGAUUUAAAUCAUUCACUGCAUUACUACUGUGCCAUGCACAUAAUAGGCCUUUGGGGAUACAGAAUUUAAGAUGCUGGAUGUAGUCCUACAUUUGUAGUCUGUACAUUCCUGGGGGAGGGAGAUGGAUAAAUAAACAAGUUAAAAAAAAAAGAAGAAAAUUUAAAAUAGAGACAAGAAAAAUAAAAGAAAUAAAAGAAUGAGAUGUGGAAGCAUGGUGGUGGAGUAAGUACCUCCCCAAGAAAGUACAAUAUAAAUAUAUACAUGUUUAUGGGUACUGCAUGGAAAUUUAAAGAAAAUUCUGAAUGUGCUAAUUUUUCAUUAAAAGGGAAAGAAAAUUAUUGAUAUUUAUCAUUAUUCAAAGGAAAUGGUUGUUUUUCAAGAAAAACAGUUUUAGAUUAGUUCCUAACACAUUUGGUUGGAUCUUUCUUUGUUUCUUUCAUUCUUUAUUUCUUUUUCUUUCUUUCUUUCUCUUUCUUUCUUUCUUCUUUCUCUCUCUCUCUUUCUUUCUUAAAACCAAACCAACCAAUAAAACAAGAAAAACCCCAAAACCUCAUUUUAGUUCAGAUCUAGUCUAUAAAUAAGCAGGGUUUUAUGUUUCUUAGAAUUUAAUUAAUCCCUAGUAAAUUACUAUCUUAUGAGGGAUUUAGAUUUUUGUGUAAUGCUGUGCCCUUUAUUCCAAUCCAAAGAGUAUCCAUGUAUUUGGGGUUAUAACACCAGUGUCAAAAAGUGAGAGUAUCUGUUUACAUGAUGUGUCACACUUUUUCUCUCUCCACAAAUUUGCUUUAUUUUAAAAGCAAUUAAUGGGCUUAGCCAUUAUCUAUCUUCAAAGAGAUCUGAACAAUUAGGGCUAUCCUACUUUUUCCUUUUUUUCCCCCAUUUCUGAAAGAUACUACCUUUACCCUUGCUGUCAUUAAGAUGUGUUGCAAGAUCUCUCUGAGGUCAUGCUGUAAAGAUUUUAGCCUUAGAAAAUUAAAGCUUAUGAUAAUAUGUAUCACAGAAACUUCAAAGAUCCACAUUAUCAAAUAUAGUGAUUUCAAACCUCAAUUAACGUAGUUUUAUGCAUGAAUACAAACAAACACCUGAACCUAUUAAGACAGUGAAUUAAUGUAUACAUAAAUAAUUGUCAGUGGAAAAACAGAAGGGUUUAAUGUAAAUCUAUGGCUGAGGUUUAUUUAUUUUGUGGAUAUUUUUACUUUUUUAGUUUUCUUAGUGACAGACAGAUACAUAAAUGUUACAUACACAUUACGUGUUGAAAUAUAUGUCCUCUUCUUUCUUGAUUGUGUCAGUUCUAUUUAGUUUAUUUUUCAGAGGCUGCUGAGAGAAUUACUUCUUUAAGAAAUUGGGGAUUGAAGAUUCUGAGUGUUUUUUAGUCAGGCUCAUUACCCCUCUAUCUUUAAAUGAAAAUAGUAGGAUCAACAAGGCAUCUCAAAGGGCAUUUUGACUAUUUAUCAGAAAAUUGUCUAGGUGGUUAUUUUUGCACAUGAGAAAUUUUCUAUCUAGCAGUUGACUAUUGCUUAAUUAACAAUUAAGACUAUUGCUUAAUUAAUUAAUAAACAAAAAAAAGUUUAAUGAUGGGAGUGCCCAAGAAUAUUUGGAGGAAGUUUUUUACCAAAUUCAGUACUACUACACUUUCCCUAAAAGAUGUCACUGAAAAAACUUCAUAUUCCAUGUUGUCCUUCUAUUACUGCAAAAUAAGUGUUAUUGUGGAGGUUAGCUUUGCACAUGAACACAAAGCCCUGAACAUAUAUGGUGAAAGUGAAUUAAUUUAUUUAAGACACUUCUGUUUUUCUCAGAGAGCAAGUGGGAAUGUAAAGCAAACUUUUCCUUUCUUCAAAGAAUCUUUAAGGACAGCAAAUUGAAUUACAGGAUUCGUUACAUAAAUAGAUUUGUUUUUCAUUGGAGGGGGCAGAAUUUUAUAGGAGAAUGUGUUUAGGGUGAGAUUUGUGUGGUCACAGGAUGAAAAAGGAGGAAGAAACAUAAGGAAAAUUAUUUAUAGAAAACAAUCAGUAAAUUUGAGUCUUGACCUCAAGUUGUUUAUGUCAACAGAAACAUAAUUUGUGGACCACCUUAAUUAUGUUUUGCUUUCCUGUUUCUGUCUGGCUGCUUUAUUUGUCCACAUUAAAGAAGGA